AACGAACGCUGGCGGCAUGCCUAACACAUGCAAGUCGAACGAACCCUUCGGGGUGAGUGGCGCACGGGUGCGUAACGCGUGGGAACCUGCCCUUAGGUUCGGAACAACAGUUAGAAAUGACUGCUAAUACCGAAUAAUGUCUUCGGACCAAAGAUUUAUCGCCUUUGGAUGGGCCCGCGUAGGAUUAGCUAGUUGGUGAGGUAAAGGCUCACCAAGGCGACGAUCCUUAGCUGGUCUUAGAGGAUGAUCAGCCACACUGGGACUGAGACACGGCCCAGACUCCUACGGGAGGCAGCAGUGGGGAAUAUUGGACAAUGGGCGAAAGCCUGAUCCAGCAAUGCCGCGUGAGUGAUGAAGGCCUUAGGGUUGUNAAGCUCUUUUACCCGGGAUGAUAAUGACAGUACCGGGAGAAUAAGCCCCGGCUAACUCCGUGCCAGCAGCCGCGGUAAUACGGANGGGGCUAGCGUUGNUCNGAAAUACUGGGCGUAAAGCGCACGUAGGCGGCCAAGUAAGUCAGGGGUGAAAUCCCGGGGCUCAACCCCGGAACUGCCCUUGAAACUGCAUGGCUAGAAUACUGGAGAGGCAAGUGGAAUUCCGAGUGUAGAGGUGAAAUUCGUAGAUAUUCGGAAGAACACCAGUGGCGAAGGCGACUUGCUGGACAGUUAUUGACGCUGA
rnacentral:rRNA from 1 species